AAACAAAACAAAACUCACCCUGAACGCACCCGAUUUCAUCUGAUCUUGGAAGCUAGGCAGGGUCAGGCCUGGCUAGUACUUGGAUGGGGUCUACAGCCAUACCACCCUAAAAAAAUCUAUUGACCUUUUUUC
ensembl:rRNA 5S_rRNA 5S ribosomal RNA